AGAGAGAGACAUGCGCGCAUAUCAAUAAGCGGAGGAAAAGAAACUAACAAGGAUUCCCUUAGUAACGGCGAGUGAAGCGGGAAGAGCUCAAAUUUGAAAUCUUCAAGGUUUUACCUUGACGAAUUGUAGUUUAAAGAAGUGUUUUCUGCUGAAGUUUUGGUAAAAGUUCUUUGGAAUAGGACAUCAUAGAGGGUGAGAAUCCCGUAUUUGACCAUUAUUUUCAGCUUUGUGAUACACUUUCAAAGAGUCGGAUUGUUUGGGAAUGCAGUCCAAAAUGGGCUGGUAAAUUUCAUCUAAAGCUAAAUAUUGGCGAGAGACCGAUAGCGAACAAGUACCGUGAGGGAAAGAUGAAAAGAACUUUGAAAAGAGAGUUAAACAGUACGUGAAAUUGUCAAAAGGGAAGCGUUUGACACCAGUGUUGUUUUCUCGAAAAUCAAUUAAAAAUGGCUCGAUUUUGUAUUGCUGAGACCUUAAAAGCUCACUGUACAUUUUUCGUGUCUUUUUUAAUGCACUUUUCGUUUAACAAGUCAACAUCAGUUUCUUUUGUUGUAAAAGGGUCAUUGGAAGGUGGCUUUCUUUUCGGAGAAAGUGUUUAUAGCCUUUGGCCUCUGCAAUCGGAAGAGACUGAGGUCUGCAGCGUAGACUCUUCGGGGUUAGAUACAUUUGUGCUAAGUUAUAGCUUUUUAUAGACAACUUGUUGACUAUAAUUAGUCUUGUAGCUUACUCGCUUAUGCUAUUUUACCUACGCUUAGGAUGUUGAAGAUGUAGCACAUCAU
rnacentral:rRNA from 1 species